UGAGGGAGUGCCAACAGAGUAACCAUCCUAGCCUUGGAGCUAGUAACCAUCUGAAUUACGAAUCAUGGAAGCCUUUGCCCACUGCGCCAUUAUAGAAUCCAUAUACAAUGGAGUUCGAUACGCCUUCACAUUCAAAGAAACAAUUGCACCGACUCUUUGUAGGCUUUAUAGCCACUUUUGAGCAGAGACAGAGUACUCAAAAUUGAUAAUCUUAAUUAGCUUGUUCCAAUAUAUGCUAUUCUGCUUUGUCUGUUGCGCUUGAGAGUUAUCCAUAAUGCAACAUCUGAGGGUGUCUCUUUUGCAAAUUAAGCUUCGCUUAAAUGACGGCAUGCGUCAUCAGUCCAGUGUUGCUAGCAUCACAGAAAAAGAAUCGCAAUCCGCACGGGAAACUUGCAGAGUGAGCUUGACCUGUUAUUACUCUUCUGCUGAUCUUUAUUCUGAACUGAAAGGUACAAUACGUUUUACAUCAAUGUCACGGCAGCUAGCUGCAGUGCCAUCGGCCAUUUGCAUUGGCAUCACCAGGUUUAUUCACACCAACACACAAGUACAUGGGAUGCUUUUUUUUUUCGUUUUUAUAUUUUUCAGUACUGGAGCUGUGCACCUCGGAGCUGGGAAUGUGACGAAGGCAGUAGGCAGCCAUCAGCCCAUCAGGGCUGAGGGGUCUAUGAUCUCUCCGCUCGGUGCUGGUGGAGGCGCCGUGGGUACCGAACCGCGAGGACGAAGCCUACCACCUCUGGGCCAUCCUGUCCAUGAUGGGUGGUAGAGAGGCUUAUAUCUAAACUUUCAAAAGUGGUUAGAAAAUGACCUCUUCGAGAUGAAUGGUCGGAAGAGAAACCUUGCGCCAAGUUCCAGUCGAGGCCCCGACCUUUCUGCUGCGGUCGCCGGUGGUCCCCCGGGACUUGCUGCCGCGGUCGUCGGUGCUCCUGUUGGCGUUUCUGCUGCAUCUGCGGCGGCUGCUGGUGCUCCCGCCGGCCCUGCGUCCUCUCCACCCGCAAGUCUUCACGCCAAUGGUUUUCCUGCAUGGUGGACAAGUUCAUCUCCAGUGUCCUUCAGGCAUGAAUCAUCUACUAGCGCAGGGCUGUACCCACCAGGUGGCUUUACCAAUUUUAUGCAGUCAAACAACACUCUAGAAGAUUUCCAUUUAGUUGGCAAUACAACAAGCAGAACUAGUGUUGGUCCAUCUGCUACAAGUUAUAGAGGAACACCCCCAGGUGAAAGCAAUGCACAAGAUAAAGAAACAAUCACUGUUGACGCGGAUGAAACCAUUGAAGAUAGUAGGACUGAGAAGAGAUUGAACUGGACAAAAGAUGAAGACAUUAGAUUGGCUUCUGCUUGGGUGCAUAACUCAAAGGACCCGGUUGAUGGAACUGAUAGGAAGUCAGAUCAAUAUUGGGCGGAUGUUACGUAAGAAUACAACAAAACCACAGAGGUUUGCCGCAGGAGAAAUCGGAACCAACUGAAAAUCUGUUGGGAUCGUGUUAAGAAACCGGUUAGUGAGUUCCAUGGUUGCUGGGUAAGAACAAAUAAAGCGUACAGAAGUGGUAUGAGUGAUGACCAAUUGAUGGAAAUUGCUGAAAAGAUGUAUGCUUCUGACCAUAGUGAUAAGGAAUUCAUGUUGAAGCAUAUAUGGAAGGUUGUGCGAGGUGAAAGAAAGUGGUCUGCAUA